GACGAACGCUGGCGGCGUGCUUAACACAUGCAAGUCGAACGAAGUGGCGAACGGGUGAGUAACGCGUAAUCAGCCUGCCCUUCAGAGGGGGACAACAGUUGGAACCGACUGCUAAUACCGCAUACUGAAGGAGGGGUUUGCGUCUGAUUAGCUAGUUGGAGGGGUAACGGCCCACCAAGGCGAUGCGCAGUAGCCGGGCGGAGAGGAUGAACGGUCACAUUGGGACUUAGAAACGGCCCAGACUCCUACGGGUGGCAGCAGUGGGGAUUCUGCCGCGAUGGACGAAAGUCUGACGGAGCAAAGCCGUGUGAGUGAUGACGGCCUUCGGGUUGUAAAGCUCUGUUAAUCGGGGCGCGGUACCGGAAUAGAAAGCCACGGCUAACUACGUGCCAGCAGCCGCGGUAAUAC
rnacentral:rRNA from 1 species